rnacentral:rRNA from 1 species
GAUGAACGCUAGCGGCAGGCUUAAUACAUGCAAGUCAAGGGGGUAGCAAUACAACCGGCGCACGGGUGAGUAACGCGUACACAACAUACCAUAUACUGGAGUAUAGCUUUGGGAAACUGAAGGUAAUCCUCCAUAACAUUGCGAGAGGGCAUCUGAUUGCAAUUAAAGUUCCGACGGUAUAUGAUUGGUGUGCGUUUGACUAGCUAGUUGGUAGGGUAACGGCCUACCAAGGCGACGAUCAAUAGCUGGCGUGAGAGCGCGACCAGCCACACUGGAACUGAGACACGGUCCAGACUCCUACGGGAGGCAGCAGUAGGGAAUAUUGGACAAUGGGCGAAAGCCUGAUCCAGCCAUGCCGCGUGAUAGAUGAAGGCCCUCUGGGUUGUAAAUAUCUUUUAUCUGGGAAGAAACUCCUCUAUUCUUAGAGGCCUGACGGUACCAGAGGAAUAAGCACCGGCUAACU